AAAGCUCUUUCAGCGAGGAGGAAGGUGGUGAACUUAAUACGUUCAUCCUUGACGUUACUCGCAGAAGAAGCACCGGCUAACUCCGUGCCAGCAGCCGCGGUAAUACGGAGGGUGCAAGCGUUAAUCGGAAUUACUGGGCGUAAAGCGCACGCAGGCGGUUUGUUAAGUCAGAUGUGAAAUCCCCGGGCUCAACCUGGGAACUGCAUUUGAAACUGGCAAGCUAGAGUCUCGUAGAGGGGGGUAGAAUUCCAGGUGUAGCGGUGAAAUGCGUAGAGAUCUGGAGGAAUACCGGUGGCGAAGGCGGCCCCCUGGACGAAGACUGACGCUCAGGUGCGAAAGCGUGUGGG
rnacentral:rRNA from 1 species